GCGGCGUCGCGCGCUGAUUGGCUGAAACGUCUGCGCCAGCCACGAUGGGGCACAUAACCCCCCCAAGGAAAGACUCGGAGCGCUCAGAUGGCUUCUCUACCACAGCUGUGGGGCUCAGCUUAUUAAAGUUGGAAUGGUUUGGUUGCCUUGAUACAUGGAUGACUGAUUUUGCCCUCUUCAGUGUUCACAGAUGGACUAGAAGAGAUAAAGGAGACAGCAUGCCAUUGCAGGAAGAUGUGUCACCAAGCAAGAGGAUGAGAGUUAAAUAUUUUCUGCAAAGCAGCCUCUCCUUCCUCUCUCCCCACCAUGUUUUUACUGUGCCUUUACUUGUAGACCUCUAUACCCUCCAUCUUUUGAGUUCUGUGUGUCAGGUUCAAUGUUUGUGUUCAGUUCCUGGGAGAAGCAUCAGGCACUGCUCUUCAAGUGAGAUCCUGCCAGUGCUCAAAGCCUCAGAUUCAUGUGGGGAGAGAAAAUGAGCAGCACAAAUUCCCAGUUUGUGUAUUAGCUAAAAAGGUGAUUAGUCUCUGCUAUUUCUGCAUUCGGGAUCCUGAGUGUGGGCUCAUUAUUCUAUUGAAUGAUUAUUGAAUGAUCAGAAGUAAUUUCUUUUCCUGGGAAGUGAAUUCUACACAUGUGCAAUUCUAUUCCAAAAUGGAUUCCUUGUGUCUCUCAGAUGUUGCUUUUGCCUUGGAUUGUCUUCAGAAAAACAAACUGUCCAGUUAAGUUCACCAUUGGUUUUGCCUCCCAUCUAGAAACGAGAGGAGAUCAUAGAUUUAGCACAUUUUCUGGAUGCUGAAAUUCAUAUGCAGAGUGUUGAAGGAGCAGCAGCUUUCUUUAGCAGCCACAUGUGCUGCCCUUAUGCAUCCUGGAUUGAUGCAUUUUUCAUUUUCCAAGGCAAUUGCACCUUUCUGUGCUAGUGCUUCAGCAAAGUUGUAAUAUCUCCAAACCUAACAGAAGGGUUAUUUUGAAAUUUUCAGUUUUACAGGAGUAUUAAUACCAGGCUUGUUUCCUUAAUAGUCUGUUACAUGCUGUAGGCAAGGAUUGUGCUAUUUGAGAUGAACACAGCACAAACUGCUAUGCAGAUCUGCCCACUUCAAACACCUCAGUGGAAGCCAGAUGAAUGACACUGUUUCAGGCAUGGACCAGAGCAGUGGGAAAAUGGCCAUCAAGAGUUAAGGGUUUAUUGGUAUAAUGAAGGGUAGAUUUUCUCCCUUCCUCACCAAUCCCUUUUAAAGAAGUCUCUGAGCAGAAACAUAAAGGCUUGCUGUCCAGCACCAUUUACUCUGUCACUUCACAGAUUUCUGUGCUGCUUUUCCUCACGUCUGCAGUUACUCCAUUUAUCCCUGUUUUUAUGGUAUUGGCCCCAACUUGCAAUGCAUUUGUUCUUAGUUAUUCUACAUCCUUUCACUCUUUUAACUUCACCGUAUUCCCCUGAAAAUCACCUUUUUGGUUUUAGGCUCCUGUCUGCCUCUCAAGGCUUCUGCAUUUUUUGUUACCCUCUUUCUAGGGAGCAUCUUUUUCUCACUGUAUAUCUUAUGCCCAGUUUCUUCAGCAGUUUCCUUCAUCUCACGGCUGCUAGACUUCCUACAUUUUGUCCCUGUGUGUUGUCAUUUUGAGUCACAGAUGGAAGGCUGACCUGCAAGGGUGCAGAAACCCUGGACUUCCCCACAAAAGUGCUGCAGCCAAAUACAGGUGUCCAAUUCCAGCCAGGCUGGGAAUCUUCUGGUAUUUAUGGGUCUGGAGAAAUAUUAUGUCCCACAGGCACUUAAAUAGCUGGAUGUUGGAUCAAGUUUGAGUUGGCUAAUAACAGUUUUGCAUUGCUUUCUGCCCCUUACACAGCCUUGGUGACAGGUAGAGGUCUUUUCCGAAGGGCAGGAUGGCUCCAGGUGAGUUUGGGCAGUUAGUUGGGCAUCAUUUGUGCCAGUUGUGCACUAUAUUUUUCCUAGAAGCACUGCUUAAUACAUUUCUUAUAUUGCUGAAUUGUGUUCAGCAGUAAUAAUAUUGGAGUAUGAUUAUGAUACUCCAAUAAAAAGCAAUAGGGAGUUCUUUGCUUAAUCCCACCACUUUCUUUAGUUGUUUCCAAGUUCAGUUUUCAUUCUAUCUCCUAAACCCCAGACUGACUCAAUGCUACUUCUGCAAGCUCUACCUUGCACAUACCUGUCACACAGAACAAUUACAAAUGAUGUGAACCACCAUUUAAAUCUUCAAUCAAGUUUAUCUGUACAGGACUACAAAUCACUGGCUAGACUAAUUUUAUGCUUUAAUUUCAGGAGUUAAAAGAAUGGUGGGAAUCUUCAAAGAUUUCCUCACUCCUCUGAACUCAUUCUCCAGGUACUGACAGGAUCUUAAUGCGUCAGUUUACUUAAGUUGCUGCUCCUAGAGACUUUAAUGGUACCAAAUUCAUUCCUUGAUGACUUCUGUUUGCUCCUUUUAUCAUGAUUUUAACAUUACUCUUACAGAGCACAUUUUUGUAAUCAUAACCAAGUGAAAUCUUGCAAGUGAAAAGGGGUUUCACUUGAAACUUUUCUUACAGAAUAAACAUUGGCAGCCAAAGGUAAGGAUGAGGUUCUCAGUGCUUCAUUAGCACAGAUGUCCUGGAAAAGGGCACUAAGAGCUCCAGAAUUUGGGUAAGAUGGGAUUCUUGGAAGUAAAUAUAAGCUGUCACCUACCUAACAGGUUUAACAGCAGAAGAGGUGUCCUAGGGAAUGCUGCAGCCUUGUAGCAUUGAUUCAAAGAGGUGCUGCUGUCACAGGCAAUAGACAAGUACCAGUGCUCACCUGAAAUAGACCUGUGCACUGAAUUAAACGCAGCCAUCGUGUCACCAUGCCUGCAGUGACCGCUGCUUCUGUGUGGACAGGAGGCACCUGAAAACAGCCAUCCCCAAAGCCUUGCCAUGCUGAAAGCCUUUGGGUUUUUUCCAACUGAUGGAAUUCAAUUUGCAUCUUGCUGGAGGCUCUUAUCUCAAUCUCUCUCCCUGCCACCCUGCAGUCAUAUAAAUUUAGUUACAUGUAGAGCUCCUGAUCAUCUCCAAGGAAUGACCAAGAUCUGAGAGAUUAAACCUUUUUUUUUUCUGGGGAUUUUUUGUCCUGGUGGGGCUGAUCUCUGUAUGAAGGGAAAUGUGUUAUUCUUCAAACCUUGAUUUCUCACUUGCUUUUUAGGUAGUGAACUGAGCACUGAUGGCCUUGCUCUUGAAGAGGAAUAUCCUGUGUUGCAGCCUUGCUGCAAGACUUCAGCUCUUACACACUGGUGUAUCUGCAGUGCAGGACUAGGAGCAUGUGAGAAUGUAGUUGAGGUUUUACCUCUUACUUAUCUGAGAGACUUCCACAAGAGUCACCAGAUUUAAAGUUUUUCAGAAAAACAAGGAUAACACUGUUGGAUUCAGUGCUGUGAACAUAAAUUCUCACUAAGCACUACAUAAAUAUUAAAAGUAAAUUAAUUGAUGUUGCACUUUAAAUACUAUAUAAAUUCAGCCUUGCAUGAAAGCCCCUACCCAAAGAUUUAUAAGGAAUUUGUACAUUUUGGACUGGGUAGGAAAAAAAUCCCUGCUUUUUAAGUAAAGGAAAAGCCUAUCUCAGAAUGUCUUGUUGUUUAUUGCUGUAUUCAUAUUGCACAUUAAAAUAUUUACAUUAAAAUGUGUCCAUUUUCAAAA